UUCAUGGCCGCCGGGGACCUGCGUCCAAUUGCCGUCCAUUUUGUGCAUGUUUGUUUUUGUUUUUGGUUUUGUGCGUAUACGUCACAUGCAGGCCCCCCAAGCGCCAGCAAAGUACCGCUAACUUGUCAAAGCAAAUGCACUUUCCUUUGUCAUGCCUAUUCGUGAAUAUUGAACUUGUUUGUGCUUGUCACUUGGUGGCGCCUUAUCACAUGGCACUUGGAUUAACGGGAACAGUUAUUAAAUUGUGACCUUAUUUCAAGAAAACAACAGAAAUCUAAAAUUAUUUUCACGAAAAAAAUAAUAGUAACAUCACUGGAUCGAUUGGAGAUUGGAGAUACAGUUUAAAUUUUUCAAAAAUAUAUUGUAUUGAUUGGAAUUAAUUAAAAAACAGACACUUCUUCACUAUAUUGUCCAGGUCCUUUGUGUAGCACUCCUGGCACUCCUCGCCGCCGUCCAGGCGAAGCCCGGCGGACCGGCCGCCUACUCCAUCAGCGCCCC
rnacentral:misc_RNA from 1 species